rnacentral:lncRNA from 1 species
CCGGAGGUAGAGCUCGCGUCGCUGCGUCGUCCCGGCCUGGUUCCCGGCUGCGCAGGAGUCUGCGUACGUUCACGUUAAGAGGAGACUAUGGAGCUGCACGAGUCCACGUAUUUCGUUGUCCUUAUCCCUUCAGUAGUUAUUACUGUCAUUUUCCUUUUCUUCUGGCUUUUCAUGAAAGAAACAUUAUAUGAUGAUGUUCUUGCAAAACAAAAAAGAGAACAAAAGUUGAUUUCUACGAAAGCAGAUAAAAAGAAGGCAGAAAAGAAGAAGAAUAAAAAGAAAGAAAUCCAGAAUGGGACCCUUCAUGAAUCUGAUUCUGAGCAUGUGCCUCAGGACUUUAAAUUAUCUGAUGCCUCACCUGUUGAGGAUGAACAGUUUGUACCUGCUCCAUUGAGUGUGGCAGAAACUUCCAGCAGUGUCAGGGAACGAAAGAAGAAGGAAAAGAAACAAAAACCUUCACUCGAAGAACAUAUCAUCAAAGAAAGUGAUGCAUCAAAGAUUCCAGGCAAAAAAGUAGAACCUGUCCUAGUUACAGAACAGCCGGCCCCACCCCCCGAAGCAGCUGCCUUGAAGAAGAAAGCAGGGCAGAAGAAGUCUAAAAAUGGAAGCGAUGAACUAGAUAAAAAGGUGGAAAUGGUGAUGGCACCCUCACAAAAGCAAGACGGAUCACUUUUCCAUCAAGAAACUAAACAAGAAGGCGGACCAGGAAAGAAGAAAGGCUUGUCAAAGAAGCAAAAGACAGAAAAUGUUGCAGUCUUGGUGGACGAGCCCCUCACUCAUGCCACUGCUUCUGUUCCUUCGGUGGAUAAUGCUGACUCAAGUCUCAUGACGGAUAAGAGAGGAGUUACUGAUAUGAUUAAACCUGACCAAGUAGAAGGAAUCCAGAAAUCGGGAACAAAAAAGCUGAAGAUUGACACUGACAAAGAAAAUGCCGAAGUGAAAUUUAAAAAUUUCCUUCUGUCCUUGAAGACGAUGAUGUUUUCUGAAGAUGAGGCUCUCUGUGUUGUAGACCUGCUGAAGGAAAAGUCUGGAGUGAUAAAAGAGGCCUUGAAGAAGUCGAAUAAAGGAGAAUUGAGUGGCCUUCUGCAUCCAGGCUGCUGCAGCCCACGAGGUGGAGAAGAUGCAGAAGAGUGUCCAUGUGAAGGAUGAUAAGAUAAGACUGCUUGAAGAGCAGCUGCAGCGCGAAGUUGCCAGCAGAGUGGAAGAGCUUAAGAUUCUGAAUGACCAGAAUAAGGCGUUACAGCUAGAAGUUCAGAAGCUGCAGGCCGUGGUCUCUGAGCAGCCUAAUAAAGAUGUGGUGGAACAAAUGAAAAAGUGCAUUCAAGAAAAAGAUGAGAAGUUAAGGACUGUGGAAGAGUUACUAGAAACUGGACUCAUUCAGGUGGCCACCAGGGAGGAGGAGCUGAACGCCAUAAGAACGGAAAACUCAAGUCUGACGAAGGAAGUUCAAGAGUUAAAGGCUAAGCAGAUGGAUCAGGUUCCUUUUGUGUCUUUAAUUGAAGAUCUUAAGAAAGUGAUCCAUGAGAAAGAUGGACAGAUCAAGUCUGUGGAAGAGCUCCUAGAAGUCGAACUUCUCAAAGUUGCUAAUAAGGAGAAGACUGUUCAGGCUUUGAAACAGGAAAUAGAGAUUCUAAAAGAAGAAAUAGGAAAUGCCCAGCUUGAAAAAGCUCACCAGUUGUCCGUAACUUCUCAAGUCCAGGAGCUGCAGAACCUACUAAGAGGCAAGGAGGAACAGGUGGACAGUAUGAAGGCUGCUUUAGAAGACCUGACAGGGAGAGAGAAGUGCACACAGGUGUGUUCGACACCACGAUUUGAAGAACUCGAAAAUGU